rnacentral:ncRNA from 1 species
CGUUUGAACCGAACCUUUCCCGAAAGACUUUUCGCCGAGAAUGAUUGCCCGCUUAUGGUCUUGCAAAGCGCCGGCAACAAUUUCCGAAGCCGAAGCCGAACCGUCGUUGAUUAAUACCACAAUCGGCAGACCUUCGGCAAUGUCUCCGGCCUUGGCGGUAUAUUUGACCGUGUCUUCCGGAUUGCGUGAACGGGUCGAAACAAUUUCGCCUUUGUCCAGGAACAAGUCGGAAACGUUAACCGCUUGGUCGAGCAGGCCGCCCGGAUUGUUGCGA